rnacentral:lncRNA from 1 species
UAAAUUUGGAAAAUAUAAAUACAAUAACAAAACAAAUUCCGUAUGUUAAGCAUUUUAGUUAAUUAAUGUACACAUAAAAAGCUAAUUGUGGAAUAUGCAUAAAUAUAUUUUUACAAGAAUUGCUAGUCCCCUCAGUCACAAUGUAAGUGUUAUUUUUUCCUUUUCAGUCCGGUACAAAAAGGAGUGCUGUCACUUUUUACAAUGAGUUCGUUUUUCAAUUUUAAUAUUCUAAAUAAAAUUACAAGAUUUAAAAGGACUAUUAUUUUUUAAACUUCAUACAUAUUCAAACGAAGACACUUAAACUGUGUGAGAGAGGGAUUACAUUUCUUCAUCAAGCAAAGCUUCUGAAAAGUUCCUCCAUAGCUUCUUCAUCAAUAUUCUUUUUUUCCUUUGUUCUUGUUUUGUCUCUAAAUUUUCUUGAUUUCAUCUUCAAUUUUUCUCUUUCUUCUCUACUAUUGUUGGUGAAUAGUGUUAAAACAUCAAUAACAAUAUUAUUUAACGAUUAACAAAAAUAUAAUAUAAUAUAAUAAUAAUAUUAGAUAUUAUGACAGUAAUAUUACUCAUUACCAAGUUAAUGAUAUUGAUAUUAUAUAAAUAUUACUAUCUAUUUUAAGUGAUAUAUCAAUUAUAUUUGGAUCGUAUUAGGUAUUAUUCUAAAAAAUUAUUUCAGCAGCAUGAAAUAUUUUUUCAAAAUUAAACAAUUCUUUCUUGAUUAAUUAGAUGAUAUUCAGAAUUAAAUAAAUUUUUUUAAUUAAUAAAAGAAUAGAAGAAUAAUCAAAAUUAUUAAU